rnacentral:sRNA from 1 species
AUAAAAGGAGCGCAUGAGAAUAUAGCAUGCAUCCCACUGCUUUCUGUCCUGCCUCAGAGCCUUUGGACUCAACAUGCCACCCACUACGCUGACCUCCUGGCUUGGGCAACCAGAUGGAAUGCGGCUGUCUUUCAUGAAAGUCGAGUAUGAAGGAAAACAUUUGGUUUUGAGAGCAAGACAAUCAAUUUUUUCUUAGGCUAAAUUUGAGGUGUCCCUAGGGCCCAUGCCAACAGGCAAAGGACGCAGGGUCCAAGUUCACAAGACACCUUGUGCUGAUAUAGUUCAGCAGCUGUGAGUACUUGAAGACCAUGGAGUAGGAGACAUUACUGGACAACUGCAGAAUGAGGAAGAAGAGUUGAACAUCCGUGGAACCGCUGUUGAGAUUAAGAAGAAGAGGAAGCCAAAAGCCCAGGAAAAUAGAGUGGGAAGUAUGGCAGAGGGUAGCUCCCAGGCUGAAAGGGCUCUUAUCCUACUGACAUGUUGUUAACAAGCUUGGCUAAGGCUAACCCUUAAUACAACCCUGGCGCCCUCCCAAACUGCAGGUGGAGGGAGGGAGCUACCAAACAGAACCGUGUGACCACGUCGAAGAUUUCUAACUUUUAAUCAACUUCAGUUCUAAAUGUCUGGGGCCAACUAAACACCAAUGUUUCCCAGACAAGAAGAAAAACCAAAAAGAAAGACUCAGUCACACUGUAGAUAUUUCCUACCUAACACAUGGCAUCCCCAAAGCUACUCUGAGGUAGAGUGGUUUCUAUAGCUCCUCAUACAAACCAGUGACCUUAUGUAUGCCAUAAUAGAACUAGAUAUGUCAGCAGCUUAGACCGUGUAAAUAUCUGUGGGAAACAAUCUUAAAGGGGGAAGUUUUAUUUUUGCUCAUAGCUUCUUUCAAUCCAUGGCCAGCUCGCUCCAUUGCUGAUGGGCCUGUGGCCAGUGAGAAUUUCAUGGUGGAAAAGAUAUGGUCCAUGGGGAUGGCUACUCACUUCAUGACAGUUAAGAUACAAAGAUGAGGAAGAGGAGUAGGGCGAUGUGUAGUCCCUGGGAACACACUUCUAGUGACCCACUUCCUCCAAGUAAACCCCAAAUCUGAAAAUGCCCACCACUUCCCAUUAAUACCACAGGAUUAUAAACCAAUCAUUAACCACUGAUUUGGUCAGAGCCGUCACGAUCUAGCUGUCUCUGGAGAUGCCCUCCCAGGCACCUCUGAGGUAUACCUGACAUCGGUGACACCUCUCAGUCUAAUCAAGUUGACAACCAAGACUGAUCAUCACAAUCAAUCGCAUUCAUGAACUUAGAAUUCUGGGAAAUGGCAUUUCUCAGCUUAAAACCAACCAAAAGAAAUAAGAUACUUAGAACGUGGCUAUCACUAUCAUUCACUAGCAGUGACUUAUGUAUGAGGACUCUAGUUAACAAUGAAGGGGUGCUCAACUAUCAAAACAACAACAACAA